GAUUAAGUUAUUAAGGGCGCACGGUGGAUGCCUUGGCACUAGAAGUCGACGAAGGACGUUACUAACGACGAUAUGCUUUGGGGAGCUGUAAGUAAGCUUUGAUCCAGAGAUUUCCGAAUGGGGAAACCCAGCACGAGUUAUGUCGUGUUAUCGAUAUGUGAAUACAUAGCAUAUCUGAAGGCAGACGCGGAGAACUGAAACAUCUUAGUACCCGCAGGAAGAGAAAGAAAAAUCGAUUCCCUGAGUAGCGGCGAGCGAAACGGGAAGAGCCCAAACCAACGAGCUUGCUUGUUGGGGUUGUAGGACACUCUAUACGGAGUUACAAAAGAACAGACUAGACGAAUCAUCUGGAAAGAUGAAUCAAAGAAGGUAAUAAUCCUGUAGUCGAAAGUUUGUUCACUCUUGAGUGGAUCCUGAGUACGACGGAACACGAGAAAUUCCGUCGGAAUCUGGGAGGACCAUCUCCCAAGGCUAAAUACUCUCUAGUGACCGAUAGUGAACCAGUACCGUGAGGGAAAGGUGAAAAGUACCCCGGAAGGGGAGUGAAAUAGAACUUGAAACCGUGUGCUUACAAGUAGUCAGAGCCCGUUAAUGGGUGAUGGCGUGCCUUUUGUAGAAUGAACCGGCGAGUUACGAUUUGAUGCAAGGUUAAGCAGUGAAUGUGGAGCCGUAGCGAAAGCGAGUCUGAAUAGGGCGUUGAGUAUUUGGUCGUAGACCCGAAACCAGGUGAUCUACCCAUGACCAGGUUGAAGUUCAGGUAACACUGAAUGGAGGACCGAACCGACUUACGUUGAAAAGUGAGCGGAUGAGUUGUGGGUAGCGGAGAAAUUCCAAUCGAACCUGGAGAUAGCUGGUUCUCUCCGAAAUAGCUUUAGGGCUAGCCUCAAGUGAUGAUUAUUGGAGGUAGAGCACUGUUUGGACGAGGGGCCCUUAUCGGGUUACCGAAUUCAGACAAACUCCGAAUGCCAAUCAAUUUAACUUGGGAGUCAGAACGCGGGUGAUAAGGUCCGUGUUCGAAAGGGAAACAGCCCAGACCACCAGCUAAGGUCCCAAAAUAUAUGUUAAGUGGAAAAGGAUGUGGCGUUGCCCAGACAACUAGGAUGUUGGCUUAGAAGCAGCCAUCAUUUAAAGAGUGCGUAAUAGCUCACUAGUCGAGUGACACUGCGCCGAAAAUGUACCGGGGCUAAACAUAUUACCGAAGCUGUGGAUUGUCCGUAAGGACAAUGGUAGGAGAGCGUUCUAAGGGCGUUGAAGCAUGAUCGCAAGGACAUGUGGAGCGCUUAGAAGUGAGAAUGCCGGUGUGAGUAGCGAAAGACGGGUGAGAAUCCCGUCCACCGAUUGACUAAGGUUUCCAGAGGAAGGCUCGUCCGCUCUGGGUUAGUCGGGUCCUAAGCUGAGGCCGAUAGGCGUAGGCGAUGGAUAACAGGUUGAUAUUCCUGUACCACCAUUAUUCGUUUUAAGCGAUGGGGGGACGCAGUAGGAUAGGCGAAGCGUACGAUUGGAUUGUACGUCCAAGCAGUGAGAUUGAGUGUUAGGCAAAUCCGGCACUCUUAAGAUUGAGCUGUGAUGGGGAGAGGAAAUUGUUUCCUCGAGUCGUUGAUUUCACACUGCCAAGAAAAGCCUCUAGCUAGAAUUGUGGUGCCCGUACCGCAAACCGACACAGGUAGUCAAGAUGAGAAUUCUAAGGUGAGCGAGCGAACUCUCGUUAAGGAACUCGGCAAAAUGACCCCGUAACUUCGGGAGAAGGGGUGCUCUUUAGGGUUAACGCCCAGGAGAGCCGCAGUGAAUAGGCCCAAGCGACUGUUUAUCAAAAACACAGGUCUCUGCUAAACCGUAAGGUGAUGUAUAGGGGCUGACGCCUGCCCGGUGCUGGAAGGUUAAGAGGAGUGGUUAGCUUCUGCGAAGCUACGAAUCGAAGCCCCAGUAAACGGCGGCCGUAACUAUAACGGUCCUAAGGUAGCGAAAUUCCUUGUCGGGUAAGUUCCGACCCGCACGAAAGGCGUAACGAUUUGGGCACUGUCUCAACGAGAGACUCGGUGAAAUCAUAGUACCUGUGAAGAUGCAGGUUACCCGCGACAGGACGGAAAGACCCCGUGGAGCUUUACUGUAGUCUGAUAUUGAAAUUCGGCACAGCUUGUACAGGAUAGGUAGGAGCCUGAGAUACGUGAGCGCUAGCUUACGUGGAGGCGUUGGUGGGAUACUACCCUCGCUGUGUUGGAUUUCUAACCCGCACCAUUUAUCAUGGUGGGAGACAGUGUCAGAUGGGCAGUUUGACUGGGGCGGUCGCCUCCUAAAGAGUAACGGAGGCGCUCAAAGGUUUCCUCAGAAUGGUUGGAAAUCAUUCAUAGAGUGUAAAGGCAUAAGGAAGCUUGACUGCGAGACUUACAAGUCGAGCAGGGUCGAAAGACGGACUUAGUGAUCCGGUGGUUCCGCAUGGAAGGGCCAUCGCUCAACGGAUAAAAGCUACCCCGGGGAUAACAGGCUUAUCUCCCCCAAGAGUUCACAUCGACGGGGAGGUUUGGCACCUCGAUGUCGGCUCAUCGCAUCCUGGGGCUGUAGUCGGUCCCAAGGGUUGGGCUGUUCGCCCAUUAAAGCGGUACGCGAGCUGGGUUCAGAACGUCGUGAGACAGUUCGGUCCCUAUCCGUCGUGGGCGUAGGAAAUUUGAGAGGAGCUGUCCUUAGUACGAGAGGACCGGGAUGGACAUACCUCUGGUGUACCAGUUGUCGUGCCAACGGCAUCGCUGGGUAGCUAUGUAUGGACGGGAUAAGUGCUGAAAGCAUCUAAGCAUGAAGCCCCCCUCAAGAUGAGAUUUCCCAACUUCGGUUAUAAGAUC
rnacentral:rRNA from 1 species